rnacentral:rRNA from 1 species
UACGGGGGGAGCAAGCGUUGUUCGGAUUUACUGGGCGUAAAGGGCGCGUAGGCGGCGCAACAAGUCACUUGUGAAAUCUCCGGGCUUAACCCGGAGCGGCCAAGUGAUACUGUCGUGCUAGAGUGCGGAAGGGGCUACUGGAAUUCUCGGUGUAGCGGUGAAAUGCGUAGAUAUUCGCAAGAACACCAGUGGCGAAGGCGGCUCACUGGCCCGAUACUGACGCUGAGGUGCGAAAGCGUGGGGAGCGAACAGG